AACGCUGGCGGCGUGCCUAACACAUGCAAGUCGAACGGAACUGCUUUGAAAGAAUCUUCGGAUGAUUGAGAUUCAGUUUAGUGGCGGACGGGUGAGUAACGCGUGAGUAACCUGCCUUCGAGAGGGGAAUAACGUUCUGAAACGACUGCUAAUACCGCAUAAUGUUGUCGGAUGGCAUCAUCUGACAACCAAAGCUUUAUGUGCUGAAAGAUGGCCUCGCGUCUGAUUAGCUAGUUGGUGAGGUAACGGCCCACCAAGGCGACGAUCAGUAGCCGGCCUGAGAGGGUGGACGGCCACAUUGGGACUGAGACACGGCCCAAACUCCUACGGGAGGCAGCAGUGGGGAAUAUUGCACAAUGGGGGAAACCCUGAUGCAGCGACGCCGCGUGAGCGAUGAAGUAUUUCGGUAUGUAAAGCUCUAUCAGCAGGGAAGAAAAUGACGGUACCUGACUAAGAAGCACCGGCUAAAUACGUG
rnacentral:rRNA from 1 species